rnacentral:rRNA from 1 species
AUGUUACAAAUAAUCAAAUAUCACAAAAAAUAUGACAACCAAUUUCUGGUGUCGUGCCGCCGUGGACUAGCCCCACCCUCCUCUCCCGUUGUGCUGCCACCGAUGCCAGCGAAGCCAUGCGUGCCCUCGGAGGGUGGUGGCGGGGCAUUUUCCUUUAGGUUGAUGGAUGUCCUUGGGCAGAGCUCGCGGCGGACGGCAGUCCCGGUGGAGCGCGGCGGUCUAGCGUUAGGAGACUCAUGCUACUCGUCGGGUGUCGUCCCUUAUAGUAGCAAGGCGGCCCUUGGGUGGUGCUCGGUGGUGUGGAGCGGGCCAGGUCUAGGCUCCUGGAUCUGGCAUCCCGCGCUCACGGACACAUGCACGUCUAUGCCCCCCUUGCCCGAGGGAGCGUUGUGCUUCGCUGGUGGCGCCUGCAUCUUCCUGUGCGGUCUCCUGGGUCUGGAUGACGAGGCGACGAGGGUGGUUGGAGGUGGAUGUGGGCCAGCAUGGACGACAGGGCCUAAACGCCACGAUGUCCGGCAUGGACAGAUUCAGGCUCCGCCCAGAUCAGCCAUGGUGCAUUGCUGUUGUCCCUCGGAUGAUGUGGAGGUGGUGAGCUCGAUCCUGGCGGAUCUGGACGACUUAGUGGUGGAGACUACUGUGAUGCGAGAUGCGGCUCUUCUCGAUGCGGUGGUCUGCCUGCUUGAGCGGCUCCGUUGCGCGUUGGGUUCUAUGAUUUGCGGUGGCAUGCCUGCUUGA